GCUCUUCACUGUAGCAGCGUGAUUCCGGUGAGUAGUUUAAGGCUUUUUUUUUUCCUCUUAAUUACUUCCCUCCACUUUUAGUUGGGGAGCUUUUCUCGAUAAUCGCCAAAUUUCCAUAAAUUCAAAUCAGUAUAUCAUCGAAGAACACGACGAAAAUCCGAUGGCCACAAGCAAAACGACAGUUCAAAUUCACGGAGAUUGUGAAAAUGAUAAAGUGAAGUUACGUGGAGUAGUAGUUCAGUGAAGUAGUAGAUACUGAGAUCGCAUUCUCCGUCGUCAUUUUUCACAUCGAAACAGUCGUGUAAAAAAAUGAAAAAUUUGCUGCGAGACAGGUAUGUGUCGCAGCAGGAAAUAGCAUCUUAAAGGAAGGAAGGAAGGAAACUCGAAAGUUGCUAAAAAUUUUUGAUUCUUUGGGACGAAACGAGAUAAUGGAAUCCUGUGAUUGCAUUGAGGCUUUACUGCCAACUGGUGACCUGCUGGUUAAAUACCAAUACCUCUCAGAUUUCUUCAUUGCUGUAGCCUACUUUUCCAUUCCGUUGGAGCUUAUUUAUUUUGUCCACAAAUCUGCAUGCUUCCCAUACAGAUGGGUCCUCAUGCAAUUUGGUGCUUUUAUUGUGCUCUGUGGAGCAACACACUUUAUUAGCUUGUGGACCUUCUUUAUGCACUCUAAGACGGUCGCUGUGGUUAUGACCAUAUCAAAAAUGUUGACAGCUGCCGUGUCCUGUAUCACAGCUUUGAUGCUUGUUCACAUUAUU
rnacentral:misc_RNA from 1 species